CAGCCGCCGCGGGAAUACGUAGGGUGCAAGCGUUAAUCGGAAUUACUGGGCGUAAAGCGUGCGCAGGCGGUUCGGAAAGAAAGAUGUGAAAUCCCAGAGCUUAACUUUGGAACUGCAUUUUUAACUACCGGGCUAGAGUGUGUCAGAGGGAGGUGGAAUUCCGCGUGUAGCAGUGAAAUGCGUAGAUAUGCGGAGGAACACCGAUGGCGAAGGCAGCCUCCUGGGAUAACACUGACGCUCAUGCACGAAAGCGUGGGGAGCAAACAGGAUUAGAUACCCGCGUAGUCCCUGUCUCUUAUAA
rnacentral:rRNA from 1 species